GUUUGAUCCUGGCUCAGGACUAACGUUGCCGGCGUGCAUAAUACAUGCAAGUUGUACGAAACGGGAAACCGUUUAGUGGCGAACGGGUGCGUAACACGUGGAUGAUCUGCCCUCAAGACUGGAAUAACCAGCCGAAAGGUUGGCUAAUACCGGAUAUGACCACAGCCAGUAUCACCUGGCAGUGGUAAAAGGUGGGGACCUUCGGGCCUACCACUUGAGGAUGAGUCCGCGGCUGAUUAGCUUGUUGGUGGGGUAAUGGCCUACCAAGGCGACGAUCAGUAGCCGGCCUGAGAGGGUGAACGGCCACACUGGAACUGAGAUACGGUCCAGACUCCUACGGGAGGCAGCAGUAGGGAAUUUUCCACAAUGGGCGAAAGCCUGAUGGAGCAACGCCGCGUGAAGGAUGAAGGUUUUCGGAUCGUAAACUUCUUUGAUAGGGGAAGAACGCCUGUCGGUGAAUAAUCGCCAGGUCUGACGGUACCCUAAAAACAAGUCACGGCUAACUCUGUGCCAGCAGCCGCGGUAAUACAGAGGUGACGAACGUUGUCCGGAAUCACUGGGCGUAAAGGGCAUGUAGGCGGUCGGAUAAGUCAGAUGUGAAAGCUCCGGGCUCAACCCGGGAACUGCAUUUGAAACUGUCCAACUUGAGUUCGGUAGAGGAGGGCGGAAUUCCUGGUGUAGCGGUGAAAUGCGUAGAUAUCAGGAGGAACACCCGUGGCGAAGGCGGCUCUCUGGUCCGACACUGACGCUGAAAUGCGAAAGCUAGGGUAGCAAACAGGAUUAGAUACCCUGGUAGUCCUAGCUGUAAACUAUGAGUACUAGGUGUUGGAGGUAUUGACCCCUUCAGUGCCGUAGUUAACGCGUUAAGUACUCCGCCUGGGAACUACGACCGCAAGGUUGAAACUCAAAGGAAUUGACGGGGGCCCGCACAAGCGGUGGAGCAUGUGGUUUAAUUCGAUGCAACGCGAAGAACCUUACCUAGGCUUGACAUCCUUGGACCGCUUAUGAAAGUAAGUUUUCCCGCAAGGGACCAAGUGACAGGUGCUGCAUGGCUGUCGUCAGCUCGUGUCGUGAGAUGUUGGGUUAAGUCCCGCAACGAGCGCAGCCCUUAUCUUUAGUUGCCAUCAGGUAAUGCUGGGAACUCUAAAGAGACUGCCCCGGACAACGGGGAGGAAGGUGGGGAUGACGUCAAGUCAGCAUGGCCCUUAUGCCUAGGGCUACACACGUGCUACAAUGGCCGGUACAACGGGCUGCGAUAUCGCAAGAUGGAGCUAAUCCCUUAAAACCGGUCCCAGUUCGGAUAGAGGGCUGCAAUUCGCCCCCUUGAAGUUGGAAUCGCUAGUAAUCGCGGAUCAGCACGCCGCGGUGAAUACGUUCCCGGGCCUUGUACACACCGCCCGUCACGCCACGGAAGCUUGUUGUACCAGAAAACGGUGCGCUAACCCCUCGGGGAAGCAGCUGUCUACGGUAUGGCCAGUGACUGGGGCGAAGUCGUAACAAGGUA
rnacentral:rRNA from 1 species